GAGCGGACUUGAUGGAGCUUGCUCCAUCAAGUUAGCGGCGGACGGGUGAGUAACACGUGGGCAACCUGCCUGUAAGACUGGGAUAACUCCGGGAAACCGGAGCUAAUACCGGAUAGUAUCUUGAACCGCAUGGUUCAAGUUGGAAAGACGGUUUCGGCUGUCACUUACAGAUGGGCCCGCGGCGCAUUAGCUAGUUGGUGAGGUAAUGGCUCACCAAGGCAACGAUGCGUAGCCGACCUGAGAGGGUGAUCGGCCACACUGGGACUGAGACACGGCCCAGACUCCUACGGGAGGCAGCAGUAGGGAAUCUUCCGCAAUGGACGAAAGUCUGACGGAGCAACGCCGCGUGAGUGAUGAAGGUUUUCGGAUCGUAAAACUCUGUUGUUAGGGAAGAACAAGUGCGAGAGUAACUGCUCGCACCUUGACGGUACCUAACCAGAAAGCCACGGCUAACUACGUGCCAGCAGCCGCGGUAAUACGUAGGUGGCAAGCGUUGUCCGGAAUUAUUGGGCGUAAAGCGCGCGCAGGCGGUUUCUUAAGUCUGAUGUGAAAGCCCCCGGCUCAACCGGGGAGGGUCAUUGGAAACUGGGAAACUUGAGUGCAGAAGAGGAGAGUGGAAUUCCACGUGUAGCGGUGAAAUGCGUAGAGAUGUGGAGGAACACCAGUGGCGAAGGCGACUCUCUGGUCUGUAACUGACGCUGAGGCGCGAAAGCGUGGGGAGCGAACAGGAUUAGAUACCCUGGUAGUCCACGCCGUAAACGAUGAGUGCUAAGUGUUAGAGGGUUUCCGCCCUUUAGUGCUGCAGCUAACGCAUUAAGCACUCCGCCUGGGGAGUACGGUCGCAAGACUGAAACUCAAAGGAAUUGACGGGGGCCCGCACAAGCGGUGGAGCAUGUGGUUUAAUUCGAAGCAACGCGAAGAACCUUACCAGGUCUUGACAUCCUUUGCCACUUCUAGAGAUAGAAGGUCCCCUUCGGGGACAAAGUGACAGUGGUGCAUGGGUUGUCGUCAGCUCGUGUCG
rnacentral:rRNA from 2 species